UACGAAGGGGGCUAGCGUUGUUCGGAAUCACUGGGCGUAAAGGGCGCGUAGGCGGCCUGAUAAGUCGGGGGGUGAAAGCCUGUGGCUCAACCACAGAAUUGCCUUCGAUACUGUUAGGCUUGAGACCGGAAGAGGUAAGUGGAACUGCGAGUGUAGAGGUGAAAUUCGUAGAUAUUAGGAAGAACACCGGUGGCGAAGGCGGCCCACUGGAUCGGUACUGACGCUGAGGUGCGAAAGCGUGGGGAGCAAACAGG
rnacentral:rRNA from 1 species